UUAAUGGAAACCAAAAUAGUAGAGGUAUUUUAUUGUUAAUAAAUUCAUUGAAUAAAGAUAUUCCCAUUAAC
rnacentral:tRNA from 1 species